rnacentral:snRNA from 1 species
AGCCAUGCAGUAAGCACAAAGCGAACUAUUCUUUCGCCUUUUACUAAAGAAUACCGUGUACUUGCUGUUUACAGUGGCAUACAGUAAUUUUUGGAAGGGCCCUAUUCAUUCUUAUUAGAGCU